CAGUGUAUUGGUAGCUGUUAAGCCAAGGGCGGUAGCGU
rnacentral:ncRNA from 3 species